rnacentral:misc_RNA from 1 species
GAUGAAGAACGCAGCGAAAUGCGAUAAGUAAUGUGAAUUGCAGAAUUCAGUGAAUCAUCGAAUCUUUGAACGCACCUUGCGCCCUUUGGCCAUUCCGAAGGGCAUGCCUGUUUGAGUAUCAUGAACACCUCAACUCUUCAUGGUUUUCCAUGAUGAGCUUGGACUUUGGGGGUCUUGCUGGCCUACGGUCGGCUCCUCUAAAAUAAAUCAGCUUGCCAGUGUUUGGUGGGUAUCGCAGGUGUGAUAACUAUCUACGCUUGUGGUUUUCCACCAAGUAACCUUCAGCAGUGGAGGUUCACUGGAGCUCACAGAUGUGUCUCUCCUCAGUGAGGGACAGCUCUUUGAAUGUUUGAUCUCAAAUCAGGUAGGACUACCCGCUGAACUUAAGCAUAUCAUAAGCGGAGGA